GACGAACGCUGGCGGCGUGCUUAACACAUGCAAGUCGAACGGAAAGGCCCUGCUUUUGUGGGGUGCUCGAGUGGCGAACGGGUGAGUAACACGUGAGUAACCUUCCCUUGACUUUGGGAUAACUUCAGACAACUGGUGCUAAUACCGGAUAGGAGCUCCUGCUGCAUGGGGGGGGUUGGAACGUUUCGGCGGUUGGGGAUGGACUCGCGGCUUAUCAGCUUGUUGGUUGGGUAGUGGCUUACCGAGUCAUUGAUGGGUAGCCGGCCUGGGAGGGUGACCGGCCACAUGGGGACUAAGGUACGGACCAGACUCCUACGGGAGGCAGCAGGGGGGAAUAUUGCCCAAUGGGCGGGAGCCUGAUGAAGAAGCCCCCCGUGCGGGAUGACGGCCUUCGGGUUGGAAACCGCAGUCGCCUGUGACGAAGCGUGAGUGACGGUAAUGAGUAAAGAAGCACCGGCUAACUACGUG
rnacentral:rRNA from 1 species